UCCCAGGUGUGAAUGAUACAACUCAGAGAGGAGGGACUCAGUGUUCACAGAUCUGACAUGAUUUAAUGUGUCUGACAGACACUGGUUGAAAAAAUUCAGUCCGACUCUUCUCAGAGUGAACGCUUGUACAAUGAAUCUUCAUUCAGUUAUUCUGUUCUGUGUCUCAGCAGCUUUUGUCUUUGGAAACAACAUCAGUCCAGAGACAACAGAUGUUGAUGCUGAUGAAGGU